rnacentral:rRNA from 1 species
GUAAGGAAUAUUGGACAAUGGGCGCAAGCCUGAUCCAGCCAUGCCGCGUGAGUGAUGAAGGCCCUAGGGUUGUAAAGCUCUUUCACCGGUGAAGAUAAUGACGGUAACCGGAGAAGAAGCCCCGGCUAACUUCGUGCCAGCAGCCGCGGUAAUACGAAGGGGGCUAGCGUUGUUCGGAAUUACUGGGCGUAAAGCGCACGUAGGCGGAUCGUUAAGUCGGGGGUGAAAUCCUGGAGCUCAACUCCAGAACUGCCUUCGAUACUGGCGAUCUUGAGUCCGGAAGAGGUGAGUGGAACUCCUAGUGUAGAGGUGGAAUUCGUAGAUAUUAGGAAGAACACCAGUGGCGAAGGCGGCUCACUGGUCCGGUACUGACGCUGAGGUGCGAAAGCGUGGGGAGCAAACAGGAUUAGAAACCCCUGUAGUCC